rnacentral:rRNA from 1 species
UACGUAGGUGGCAAGCGUUGUUCGGAAUUAUUGGGUUUAAAGGGUGCGUAGGCGGCUUGUUAAGUCAGGGGUGAAAGACGGUAGCUCAACUAUCGCAGUGCCUUUGAUACUGACGAGCUUGAAUGUACUUGAGGUAGGCGGAAUGUGACAAGUAGCAGUGAAAUGCAUAGAUAUGUCACAGAACACCAAUUGCGAAGGCAGCUUACUAAAGUAUGAUUGACGCUGAGGCACGAAAGCGUGGGGAUCAAACAGG